GCGACGUGGGAUCCUCCACUCAGGCCCACAGCCCAAGAUUCCAUAGUCCAAGAUUCCAGAAGAAGAAUCCAGGAUGGGAAGGGUGGGGUCAGAGGGAGAAUGCUGAAAGAAGGUUCUGGAAGAUGUCUUCUUUGGGGCUGGAUGUGUCUUCACACGCUGCCAACCUGCAAGUCCAAACUCGACUGUGACUUCGCCGUGGGCCCAAGUGUCAGCAGUCGAUCUGUUAUCAGUUGAUGGCGGGCUCGUUUCUCAGAAGCCAGGCGCGCGCGCACGUGCCGGAGCCCCGUUCUCUGGUGUGGAUCAUGUCUGCAUCGGUUCUGGAAUAAUACUUUCAGGAGCAUUGUUUCCAUUCCCAGUGAGUCGUGACCGUGCCUGGGUCUCAGUCCUCGUGCUUUUUCCUGAAGGAUGCCUCACAUUCCGAAGACGCGCAGGUUGUAACAGAAUGAGGGUGGGAUUCGAGAAACGUCCGGACCUGAGCAACCCCCACCCCCACCGAGUUUCCCCGAGCCCCAGAGACAGCCAGCCCCCCUCCGCCCGCCCGGGACAGCGCUGCCAGUCUGGGCGUCCCGUGGCCACCGUGUCAUGUGUCCCGGGAGUGGAGAGGGGUGGCCAACAGGCUGAGUCGGCGGACCUUCGCCCUCCUGCAGGGAACAACUCUGGUGACUGAAAAGUAACCCCGUGUACCCACCGUGCUUGUGGGCAUUGAAACCCCCAGGCUCUCUGCCAGGGUCAGCGUGUUGGGGACUUUGGGCCGGUUUUGUACACGGUGAACAUCAGUCCGGGGGCCGCUUUGGUUUUAUGUUGUUUUGUGGGAAGAUUUUGGUUUUGAAGUGAUCUCCGCGCCCGGCGUGGGGCUGGCACUCCCCACCCAGAGGUCCGGGGUCCCAAGCUUCACGGCGCCAGCCAGGCGCCCCGCGGGGCUGCUUUGGUUUUGUGAGUGAGCCUUCCAAGGAGGAGAAAGACACUGUUCAAAUCUGACUCUUUCUUAAGCGGUGAAUCCACUGGAAACUUACACUUCUAUUUCUGGAUAGAAUACAUUUCCCCAACCCCAUCACCGUGGAGGGAAGCAUUUUCUGUCAUGCUUGCUUCCAUUGAUAAACUGAGGUCGUUACACUCUCUUACGUAUUUUCAGCUACAUGUGGGACUUUAGCUUGUGUUACGUUUUAAGUUUUUCCAUUGUCCAUAAAUUCUUCUAAGCCAUAAGUAAUUUUUCACUUCACACCGGAUUUAGCAGUGCAGGGACUUGCUCCCUCCUCUUCCACCUUUGCCUCCUCCCUCCCUCCCUCCUUCCUUCUCUCCCUACCUUCCCCUCCUCUCUUCCCCCACUUUCCUUCUCUUCUCCCCCCUCCCUCCCCUACCUGUUUUUCUCCUCCCCUCCCCUCCCCUUUCCUUCCCUUCCCUCCAUCCCCUCUGGCCACUCUCCUCAUUUCCAUUCCCCUCCCUUCCCCUCCUCUCCCUUUCCCUCUCUUUCCCUCCACUCCUCUCCUCUCUCCUCUCCUCCCCUCCCUUCCUCUCUCUUCCCCUUCCCUGCCUCUCUUCCUCUCCCUUUGCCUACCUGAAGGAUUGGCUGUUAGAGUCUUUCAGACCUUGACACUUGAGAAGCUUGGAGGCGGAUGUCCCCUCAUCGCCAGCUACAGGUUAGGCACUGUUGGCUGAAGAGCCACAGAAGCGACAGGGCCUGCCUCCUCCAGCUGCCUGGCCCCUCUCGUGUCCCAUCGCUGCCAUGUGAGGACAGAGCAAGAAGGAUCCAUCUAUGAACCAGGAAUCAGGUUCACACUGGACACCCGAUAUGCUGGUGCCAUGAUCGUGGACUUCCCAGCCUCCAGAACCACGAGAAAUAAAUUCCUGAUGUUUGUAAGCUGCCAGUGGGUGGGAUUUUUGUUAUAGCAGCCCCGACAGAGUAAGACCACAUCAGUAUGGGCCCAUGGACUCAUGGGGCUGUCCAAGGAGCCCCAGUGCUGUGAACGCUUCCUCCUUUCCCGACCCAGGAAGCUGUUCCAGGCGAUGAGGGGGUGUGGGGCAAGCUGAGGGCAAGGUGCCGGUUAACAGCACGCCCCACCCCGGGGGGGGAUAUGUGUGAUAUUCCUUGCACACUCUCCACUACCCAAAAACAGGAAAGGACAAACAAA